rnacentral:rRNA from 1 species
GAUGAACGCCGGCGGCGUGCCUAAUACAUGCAAGUCGAGCGAACAGACGAGGAGCUUGCUCCUCUGACGUUAGCGGCGGACGGGUGAGUAACACGUGGAUAACCUACCUAUAAGACGGGGAUAACUUCGGGAAACCGGAGCUAAUACCGGAUAAUAUAUUGAACCGCAUGGUUCAAUAGUAAAAGACGGUUUUGCUGUCACUUAUAGAUGGAUCCGCGCCGCAUUAGCUAGUUGGUAAGGGAACGGCUUACCAAGGCGACGAUGCGUAGCCGACCUGAGAGGGUGAUCGGCCACACUGGAACUGAGACACGGUCCAGACUCCUACGGGAGGCAGCAGUAGGGAAUCUUCCGCAAAGGGCGAAAGCCUGACGGAGCAACGCCGCGUGAGUGAUGAAGGUCUUCGGAUCGUAAAACUCUGUUAUUAGGGAAGAACAAAUGUGUAAGUAACUAUGCACGUCUUGACGGUACCUAAUCAGAAAGCCACGGCUAACUACGUG